GAUGAACGCUGGCGGCGUGCCUAACACAUGCAAGUCGAACGGAAGGACGAGAAGCUUGCUUCUCUCAUGUUAGCGGCGGACGGGUGGGUAACACGUGGAUCCCCUCCCUGUUUUACUGGGAUAAUUUCGGGACUCCGUAGAUAAUACCGGAGAAUAUUUUGCACCGCAUGGGUCAAAGGUAAAUGACGGCCUUGGUGUCACGUCUAGCUGGUUCCGCGCUGCAUUAGCUAGUUGGUGAGGUAACGGCUUACCACGGCGACGAUGCAUUGCCGACCUGAGAGGGUGAUAGGCGACCUUGGAACUGAUACAGGGUCAAGACUCCUACGGGACGCCGCAGUAGGGAAUCUGAGGCAAUAGGCGGAAGUCUUGCACAGCAAGCCCGCGUGAGUGAUGAAGGCGCUCGGAUCGUAAAGCCCUGUUAUUAGGAAUGAACAGAUGUGUGUGUAAACGAGGAGUGCGUGACGGUACCGAGUUAGAAAGCCACGGCUAACUACGUG
rnacentral:rRNA from 1 species